GACGAACGCUGGCGGCGUGCUUAACACAUGCAAGUCGAACGAAGUGGCGAACGGGUGAGUAACGCGUAAUCAACCUGCCCUUCAGAGGGGGACAACAGUUGGAAACGACUGCUAAUACCGCAUACUGAAGGAGGGGAUUGCGUCUGAUUCGCGAGUUGGCGGGGUAACGGCGCAACAAGGCGAUGAUCAGUAGCCGGUCUGAGAGGAUGAACGGCCACAUGGGCACGGAGACACGGCCCAGACUCCAACGGGAGGCAGCAGUGGGGAAUCUUCCGCAAUGUACGAAAGUCUGACGGAGCAACGCCGCGUGAGUGAUGACGGCCUUCGGGUUGGAAAGCUCUGUUAAUCGGGACGCGGUACCGGAAUAGAAAGCCACGGCUAACUACGUGCCAGCCGCCGCGGUAAUUC
rnacentral:rRNA from 1 species